rnacentral:rRNA from 1 species
GAUCAUGGCUCAGGACGAACGCUGGCGGCGUGCUUAACACAUGCAAGUCGAACGAGAAUCUGUGGAAAGAGGAUUCGUCCAAUUGAAGCAGAGGACAGUGGCGGACGGGUGAGUAACGCGUGAGGAACCUGCCUUUCGGAGGGGGACAACAGUUGGAAACGACUGCUAAUACCGCAUAACAUAUAGACGUCGCAUGGCAUUUAUAUCAAAGAUUUAUCGCUGAAAGAUGG